CCUCCCGCUGCCCCAUCCAGGGUCAGUGCAGCUGGGCCAGCACCUCGUCUGGCAAGGCCUUGGGAGGACUGCGGCCGCCCCUGCGGGUGGGCCCGGGCCCAGAUGCUCACCCUGGGUCUUCGGGGAUCCCUCCCCGAGGGGAGUUCCCGGCUCCCAAGGGCCAGCAUUUCCGGGCUGAGGUGGGGCUCCCCGAAGCCCUGCCUCCUGCACCCCCUCCCCCUCCAGGGAGAGUCUCCCGGUCACCGCAGGCUGAGCAAAGUUGCCCGGCCGCGGGCUCCAGUGCCCAGGGUCCUAGGGAAGGCCCGGCAGCGGGCGGGCUUCAGGAAGCACAGGCAUCAGGCUGACCCAGGAACCUGCCAGGCCAGCAGCACCCAGUCCGUGUGACGUGACGCUCAUCCUACGCCCGGCAAACUCCCAGAUGAAGAGGCCAACGAAGCAGGGGUGCGGGGAGAGGCCCGCGCAGGCACCCACGCACAGUCACAGGCGCGUGCGCACGAGCAGGAUUGCACACACGCGCGCGCACACACACACGCACACAGGUGGAAAUUCUACGCUGACCGCCGAUCCCGCCCUUUCAACCAUAAACGUCUCCAAGGAAGCUGUUUUAAUUCCAGAACCCUCGGAGGCUCUGACAGUCAAUGAUUUUAAGUCCCACACGGGAGCCAGGCCUCUCUGAAUUUGCCCCCAAACCCGUGCUGCUCCAGGGACCCCGACGGACCCUCAGCUCUCCGGCCAGCCUGUGCCAUCCGCUGCCACCAGGGGCACUCGGCCAGCCACAUGGGCCGCCCCGCUGACCUGGAAGUGACCUUGGGAGGUCGUGGAGGCAGGAGAGCGGGCCGGGGUCAGAGGGGGUGUAAGGCCAGUGAGGGUCCCCUGAGCAGCCCCACCUCCAUUUCUGGGGGGUCUCACCCAGCAACUCCCCGCCCAGGACCAGCUCCGUAACUGGCGGGGCCCGUGCGGAAACCACGCAGCCUCUUGUUCCAACGUGGUUAGAAUUGCAAGUCGGCAGCGGCGGGCGCUCGGAAGCAAGCAGGGCCCUAUCUCCUGAGCACGGGGUCCGGUGUACGGCUGCCUCAAAGUCCCUUCCUCGGGGUGUGUCUCCCCAGGCCUGGCCUCUGCCUCGCUGCCAGCCUCAGACCUCUCAUCGGUCUGUGACCUCGUAGGGACACCAGGGUAGGGGUGGGGGGACAGAGCAGGGCCUGGGAGGCAGAGCCCUCGGGGCCUGGACACCCACUUGGAGCCGUGGCCCUCCUCGGAGCCGGUUGGGUAGCUGGGAGCGGGACUCUGAAACCUGUGCCUUGUGGGGGGCAUCUCUGAGAUCACGGGGGGGCUCCCUCCUCUCCCUCCCCAUGCUCGGCACCUGCAUGGGCAGGGCUGCAGAGUG
rnacentral:lncRNA from 1 species